rnacentral:rRNA from 1 species
AUAUCUAAGGUUUCCAGAGUAAAGCUGAUCUGCUCUGGGUAAGUCGGGGCCUAAGGCGAGGUCGAAAGACGUAGCCGAUGGACAACAGGUUGAAAUUCCUGUACCGGAUGGAGUCAUUUGAGCGAAGGAGCGACGCAGGAGGGCACAUGAUCGCGCGGCUGGAAGAGCGCGUCCAAGUGCGUAUGCGUAGAGGGAGGCAAAUCCCCCUUUACAGAAGCAGAGACAUGAUGGGGAGUUAAAGGAGACUUUGACGAACUCAUGGAUCCCACACUGCCAAGAAAAACUUCUAGCGAGACGAAAUCCGCCCGUACCGUAAACCGACACAGGUAGGCGGGGAGAGAAUCCUAAGGUGCGCGGGAAAACCCUCGUUAAGGAACUCGGCAAAUUGCAUCCGUAACUUCGGGAGAAGGAUGACCCUGAGUAGGCGAAAGGGAGAAACCCCCGGAACAGAAAAGGGUGGCAGAAAAGAGGCCCAAGCAACUGUUUACCAAAAACACAGGUGCCUGCGAAAGCGAAAGCUGAAGUAUAGGUGCUGACGCCUGCCCGGUGCUGGAAGGUUAAGGAGAGAGGUCAGCGAAAGCGAAGCUUUGAACUGAAGCCCCAGUGAACGGCGGCCGUAACUAUAACGGUCCUAAGGUAGCGAAAUUCCUUGUCAGGUAAGUUCUGACCCGCAUGAAAGGCGUAAUGAUUUGGGCACUGUCUCAACAGCCCGCCCGGCGAAAUUGUAGUACCGGUGAAGAUGCCGGUUACCCGCGACAAGACGGAAAGACCCCAUGGAGCUUUACUGUAGCCUAAUAUUGGGUUUCGAUGUUGCAUGCACAGGAUAGAUGGGACACAGGGAAACAAUCGCUUUGGCGGUUGCGGAGUGGCCGUUGGGAUACCAUCCUUGCGAUAUUGGAAUUCUAACCUGCGGCUCUGAAUCGAGUCGGGGGACAUUGUUAGGUGGGCAGUUUGACUGGGGCGGUCGCCUCCUAAAGAGUAACGGAGGCGUUCAAAGGUUCGCUCAGCUUGAACGGAAAUCAAGCAAAAGAGUGCAAACGCAGAAGCGAGCCUAACUGCGAGACUGACGGGUCGAGCAGUAACGAAAGUUGGAGUUAGUGAUCCGGUGGUAUGUGAGUGGAAAUGCCAUCGCUCAACGGAUAAAAGUUACCCUGGGGAUAACAGGCUGAUCUCCCCCAAGAGUCCACAUCGACGGGGAGGUU